AGAGUUUGAUCAUGGCUCAGAAUUAACGCUGGCAGAGUGCAUAACACAUGCAAGUCGAGCGGGACUAUUUGAGAUUACAUCAACUGGUAGUCUGGCGGCAGACGAGUGAGUAACACGUAAGCAAUUUGCCCCAGAUUGGCGAACAACCAGCCGAAAGGUUGGCUAAUACGCCGUAUAAUCCCGGAGAGGCAUCUCUUUGGGAUGAUAGGCCCGCAAGGGUCGAUCUGGGAGGAGCUUGCGGCCCAUCAGCUAGUUGGCGGUGUAACGGACCACCAAGGCUAUGACGGGUACCCGGCCUGAAAGGGCGGACGGGCACGAAGGCACUGAGACACGGGCCUUACUCCUACGGGAGGCAGCAGUGGGGAAUUUUGGACAAUGGGGGAAACCCUGAUCCAGCAACUCUGCGUGAGGGACGAAGCCUUUAGGGGCGUAAACCUCUUUUAUCUGGGACGAAAUCCGCAAGGUUUGACGGUACCAGGUGAAUAAGCCACGGCUAACUAUGUGCCAGCAGCCGCGGUAAGACAUAGGUGGCGAGCGUUAUUCGGAAUUACUAGGCGUAAAGCGAGUGUAGGCGGGCGCUUAAGUCUGUUGUGAAAUCUCCCGGCUUAACUGGGAGGGGUCAAUGGAUACUGGGUGUCUUGAGUGAGGUAGGGGGUGCUGGAAUUCCCGGUAGCGGUGAAAUGCGUAGAUAUCGGGAGGAACACCUAUGGCGAAAGCAGGUACCUGGGCCUUUACUGACGCUGAGACUCGAAAGCUAGGGGAGCAAACAGGAUUAGAUACCCUAGUAGUCC
rnacentral:rRNA from 1 species